UAACCUGCCCAAGAGAUCGGGAUAACACCUGGAAACAGAUGCUAAUACCGGAUAACAACAGAUGAUGCCUAUCAACUGUUUAAAAGAUGGUUCUGCUAUCACUCUUGGAUGGACCUGCGGUGCAUUAGCUAGUUGGUAGGGUAACGGCCUACCAAGGCGAUGAUGCAUAGCCGAGUUGAGAGACUGAUCGGCCACAUUGGGACUGAGACACGGCCCAAACUCCUACGGGAGGCAGCAGAA
rnacentral:rRNA from 1 species